rnacentral:lncRNA from 10 species
GUUCAGGCGGUUAAGGGAAAUGGGGGUCGGACAUGCCUCAUUAUUCCUCUCCAGCAUUAACAUAACACAGACUUUUCUAUUGAUCUCAGGUCUUUAGACAAACCAAUUGUCAACCAGAAAAUAUUUAAAUUUACCUACAGCCUGGAAACGCCACGCCACGCUGCCCCAACCUGGACUUUGAGUUGUCCUGCACCAAACCAAGCCCUGCUCGAAAGCCAACUGUACUGCGCCUGCAAGUGGAGCUGUGGACUGGACGGCAAGCAGAGGGGAAGCCUUUGAAGAUGGGAACCCAGUUUUGACAGUUUUACAGGCUUACCUGUGGACCUUGUCUCAGAUGAGAUUUUGGACAUUUGGACAUUUGGACAUGAGGAAUUGGACAUUUAAGUUUGUGCUGGAAUGAGUUAAAACUUUGGGGAACUAUUGGGAAGACAUGAUUGCGUUUUGAAAUGUGAGAAGAACAUGAAAUUUGGGAGGGACCGGGACAGAAUGAUAUGGUUUGACUCUGUGUUCCCACCUAAGCCUUAUAUUGAAUUGUAAUCCCCCAGUUUUGGAGGUGGGGCCUGGUGGGAGGUGAAUGGAUCAUCGGGGUGUUUUCUAAUAGUUUAAUACCAUUCCCCUAGUGCUAUCUUAUGAUAGAGUUCUCAUGAGAUCUGUUUGUUUAAAAGUGUGUAGCACUUUCCCCUUUACCCUCUCUCCUCUGUCGCCAUGUGAAGAUGUGCUUGCUUCCCCUUCACCUUCCAUCAUGAUUGUAAGUUUCCUGAAGCCUCCCAGCCAUGCCUCCUGUACAGCCUGUGGAACUGUGUGUCAAUUAAACCUCUUCACUUUAUAAACUACUCAGGCUAAGGUAAUUUUGUUUAGCAAUGUGA